rnacentral:rRNA from 1 species
GGCGCUUCAUACCCACCUAGAGGAGCCUGUUCUGGAACCGAUAACCCCCGUUCAACCUCACCUUUUCUUGUUCCCCCCGCCUAUAUACCGCCGUCGUCAGCCCACCCUGUGAGGGCCCAGCAGUAAGCAAGACUGGCAGAACCCAAAACGUCAGGCCGAGGUGUAGCGUAUGGAAAGGGAAGAAAUGGGCUACAAUUGCUAAAACAGCUAACACGAAUUGUUACGCUGAAACCGCGCACAUGAAGGAGGAUUUAGAAGUAAGGGGAAAGUAGAGUGUUCCCCUGAAAUGGCCCUGAAGCGUGCACACACCGCCCGUCACUCUCCCCGAAUUGGAACGACCUAAGACUUAACUAAGCACCAAACCCCACAGAGGGGAGGCAAGUCGUAACAUGGUAAGUGUACCGGAAGGUGCACUUGGGCUAAA